rnacentral:rRNA from 1 species
GUCCACGCUGUAAACGAUGAGGACUAGAUGUUGGUAGGGGAACCUAUCAGUAUCGAAGCAAACGCGAUAAGUUCUCCGCCUGGGAAGUACGGCCGCAAGGUUGAAACUCAAAGGAAUUGACGGGGGCCCGCACAAGCGGUGGAGCAUGUGGUUUAAUUCGAUGCAACGCGAAGAACCUUACCUACCCUUGACAUCCUGCGAAGAAGGCUGAGAGGCUUUUGUGCCGAAAGGAGCGCAGAGACAGGUGCUGCAUGGCUGUCGU